GGAGGCGCUCCCGGAGCUGGUGCCCGGCUCGAACUUCAAAUUCGAUGGGGGUCGCGGCGACGCGGGCCCGGGGGGUUCGAUUCCCCUGCGCUUCCGCCA
rnacentral:tRNA from 1 species